GAGAGAAAAGCGCAGCCAGAGGAGUGUUUCCUGUGCUCAUCUCUAGGAAAGGGAGACCAGGCUCAUGUUAAAGUUGGGAGUCCAUGAUGAACACUGCAUUUGAAAAGGGGGCUGUCAACAAAAAGAGUUUGAGAACCUCUGCUCUACCGUAUAUCCACUACUCGCAGAACCACAAAUACAGACUAACACGGCUGCAACUCUGAAACAAACAGGUGAACGCUCAGUUGAUCCAGGGCAAUGAACCUUUUUUGCUGGUUCUGUUUCCAGAUUGCCAUGAGGGAGAAUACUGUUCAGUUGAAUGACUGCUCUAUCAGUGGUGUGCUUCGGCUUCUAGCCACUGGAUGUUGUUAUGGUGAAGGGGAAAAAAGAUGCCUUCCUUCACCAUUAUAGUGUCCACAGUUACAUGCUGCAGAACUCUUCCAGGUGAUUAAAAGGUGGGUCCUCUGAUGACAAAGAAUCCCCCCUUUGGACUCCUGCCCCCUCAAAGGCCUCAUGUUGUGGUGACAGGCUGUGCACAGCUCCCUUGGAACCCAUCAAAACUGCACCCUAGAGAAGGAAGUGCUUCCCCGGGACUGGAUAUGCUGCCUCCUCAGUGCUGCCAGCCUAGGGCCCUGACCCUGCUCUCCCAUAGUGCUCCAUUAUAGAGCCCAGCCCAUCAUCUCUAAAGGAAACUUCAGUUUAAUCAGCUUUUCUGCAUUCUCCCUGGUUAGCUGAUAAAACAGAAGCAGCUGAAUGUUGAGACAUUAUAGCAGUUUGAGUCACAAGUGAAAACAAACUUCAUAUCCUAUAGAGCCAUGAAUCCAAACUUACCCUGAACAGGUACAACAUGAGCAGAAUGGCCCCACCCACCUACUUUAGACUCAACUGGGACGGACUUUCAUGGGGCUCGAGGGUGCUUCCAUUUCCAUGACCAUUAAGUGCCAGUGGUGUCUUGCUAGACUGCCUGCAAGAGCAAGUUUACUGCCAGUUCUGGUGGCAUCCUGCUUUCACACCAGAAGAACAUUAUGAUGCAAUAUGAGACCCAAAUUACCAAAGGGGCCAUAACAAGGUAGCACUUUGUGAAAGGGACUUUGUGUAUGCAUAGGCAGCCCAAUAGCACACUGCAGAGAGUAUAUUCAUCGUGGUAAUCAGGUAUCUCAUUUUAACCCUACAGUUCUGGGAGUACAGUAAACUGUAGGAGCCAGGGGCAGAAUUUAGACAGCUAACUGGCUGACUUUACAUGAACUAGCAAUAUUUGCAAGUCAGAGAAUGUAGCCAUCUCUGUAUUACCACCUAUGCCUACACUUCACUUGCCUACAAAACUGCAGAGGAAUCUAUUUUA